UACGGGAGGCAGCAGUGGGGAAUAUUGCACAAUGGGCGCAAGCCUGAUGCAGCCAUGCCGCGUGUAUGAAAAAGGCCUUCGGGUUGUAAAGUACUUUCAGUCGUGAGGAAGGUGUUAAGGUUAAUAACCUUAGCAAUUGACGUUAGCGACAGAAGAAGCACCGGCUAACUCCGUGCCAGCAGCCGCGGUAAUACGGAGGGUGCGAGCGUUAAUCGGAAUUACUGGGCGUAAAGGGCACGCAGGCGGUUAAUUAAGUUGGAUGUGAAAUCCCCGGGCUUAACCUGGGAAUGGCAUUCAAGACUGGUUAGCUAGAGUCUUGUAGAGGGGGUUAGAAUUCCAUGUGUAGCGGUGAAAUGCGUAGAGAUGUGGAGGAAUACCGGUGGCGAAGGCGGCCCCUGGGACAAAGACUGACGCUCAUGUGCGAAAGCGUGGGGAGCAAAC
rnacentral:rRNA from 1 species